rnacentral:rRNA from 1 species
GAUGAACGCUGGCGGCGUGCCUAAUACAUGCAAGUAGAACGCUGAAGGAGGAGCUUGCUCUUCUGGAUGAGUUGCGAACGGGUGAGUAACGCGUAGGUAACCUGCCUGGUAGCGGGGGAUAACUAUUGGAAACGAUAGCUAAUACCGCAUGACAACAGUUAUUGCAUGAUAACUGUUUAAAAGGGGCAACUGCUCCACUACCAGAUGGACCUGCGUUGUAUUAGCUAGUUGGUGAGGUAACGGCUCACCAAGGCGACGAUACAUAGCCGACCUGAGAGGGGGACCGGGGACAUGGGGACUGAGAUACGGCCAAGACGCGUACGGGAGGGAGCGGGGGGGAAUAUGGCGCGAUGGGAGGAAGGCUGAUGGAGGAACGGCGGGUGCGGGAUGACGGCCUGCGGGUUGUAAACCGAUUUCGCCUGUGACGAAGCGUGAGGGACGGUAAUGGGUAAAGAAGCACCGGCUAACUACGUG